rnacentral:rRNA from 1 species
UCCCAAGGCUAAAUACUCCCUAGUGACCGAUAGUGAACCAGUACCGUGAGGGAAAGGUGAAAAGCACCCCGGAAGGGGAGUGAAACAGUUCCUGAAACCGUGUGCCUACAAGUAGUUAGAGCCCGUUAAUGGGUGAUAGCGUGCCUUUUGUAGAAUGAACCGGCGAGUUACGAUUUGUUGCAAGGUUAAGCGGAAAAAGCGGAGCCGUAGCGAAAGCGAGUCUGAAUAGGGCGCAUGAGUAACAGGUCGUAGACCCGAAACCAGGUGAUCUACCCAUGUCCAGGAUGAAGGUGAGGUAAUACUCACUGGAGGUCCGAACCCACGCACGUUGAAAAGUGCGGGGAUGAGGUGUGGGUAGCGGAGAAAUUCCAAUCGAACCUGGAGAUAGCUGGUUCUCUCCGAAAUAGCUUUAGGGCUAGCCUCGAGGUAAAGAGUCGUGGAGGUAGAGCACUGUUUGGACUAGGGGCCCUUCUCGGGUUACCGAAUUCAGAUAAACUCCGAAUGCCAUGUACUUAUACUCGGGAGUCAGACUGCGAGUGAUAAGAUCCGUAGUCGAAAGGGAAACAGCCCAGACCACCAGUUAAGGUCCCAAAAUAUAUGUUAAGUGGAAAAGGAUGUGGGGUUGCAUAGACAACCAGGAUGUUGGCUUAGAAGCAGCCACCAUUGAAAGAGUGCGUAAUAGCUCACUGGUCGAGUGACCCCGCGCCGAAAAUGUACCGGGGCUAAACAUAUUACCGAAACUGUGGAUGAACCUCUUCGGAGGUUCGUGGUAGGAGAGCGUUCUAAGGGCGGUGAAGUCAGACCGGAAGGACUGGUGGAGCGCUUAGAAGUGAGAAUGCCGGUAUGAGUAGCGAAAGAAGGGUGAGAAUCCCUUCCACCGAAUAUCUAAGGUUUCCUGAGGAAGGCUCGUCCGCUCAGGGUUAGUCGGGACCUAAGCUGAGGCCGAUAGGCGUAGGCGAUGGACAACAGGUAGAUAUUCCUGUACCAGUGCGAGUUGUUUGAGCAAUGGGGUGACACAGAAGGAUAGGGAAUCGCACAGAUGGAAACGUGCGUCCAAGCAGUGAGUGUGAGAAGUAGGCAAAUCCGCUUCUCGCGAAGCAUGAGCUGUGAUGGGGAAGGAAAUUAAGUACGGAAGUUCCUGAUUUCACGCUGUCAAGAAAAGCCUCUAGUUAGAUUAGUACUGCCCGUACCGCAAACCGACACAGGUAGAUGAGGAGAGAAUCCUAAGGUGAGCGAGAGAACUCUCGUUAAG